CAUGUAAACUUUAUUGUAAUGCUUUCAGAUCAACAAUCGGUGCUUGAUAGGUCUCGACCAAUUGGUUGUAAUUUGCCGUCUGUUUGUCCAAGACGUAGUAACCAACAUAAUCGUUGUCCAAAUUCUGAGCCAUUUGAUACUGGAAGAAACUGCAAAGUAUUAAGGUCGACCAUCAGACUUUAUAACAGACAGCAGCGGGAUGGUAGACCUGGUGACUACAUGUAUGGGAAAAA
rnacentral:lncRNA from 1 species